CGGUGACUAGCCCGUGAGGUCACACGCGUUCCCAUUCCGAACACGACCGUUAAGCUCACGGGACCGAUGAUAGUGCCCACAAGUGCGAAAGUAGGUGUCGCCGGUCU
rnacentral:rRNA from 2 species